UACAGAGGGGGGCAAGCGUUGUUCGGAAUUACUGGGCGUAAAGGGCGCGUAGGCGGCCUUCUAAGUCAUGCGUGAAAUCCCCGGGCUCAACCCGGGAACUGCGUCUGAUACUGGAAGGCUUGAAUCCGGGAGAGGGAUGUGGAAUUCCAGGUGUAGCGGUGAAAUGCGUAGAUAUCUGGAGGAACACCGGUGGCGAAGGCGGCAUCCUGGACCGGUAUUGACGCUGAGGCGCGAAAGCCAGGGGAGCAAACGGG
rnacentral:rRNA from 1 species